GCGAGUGGCGAACGGGUGAGUAAUACAUCGGAACGUGUCCUGUAGUGGGGGAUAGCCCGGCGAAAGCCGGAUUAAUACCGCAUACGCUCUGCGGAGGAAAGCGGGGGAUCCUUCGGGACCUCGCGCUACAGGGGCGGCCGAUGGCAGAUUAGCUAGUUGGUGGGGUAAAGGCCUACCAAGGCGACGAUCUGUAGCUGGUCUGAGAGGACGACCAGCCACACUGGGACUGAGACACGGCCCAGACUCCUACGGGAGGCAGCAGUGGGGAAUUUUGGACAAUGGGCGCAAGCCUGAUCCAGCAAUGCCGCGUGUGUGAAGAAGGCCUUCGGGUUGUAAAGCACUUUUGUCCGGAAAGAAAACCUCGUGGUUAAUACCCGUGGGGGAUGACGGUACCGGAAGAAUAAGCACCGGCUAACUACGUGCCAGCAGCCGCGGUAAUACGUAGGGUGCAAGCGUUAAUCGGAAUUACUGGGCGUAAAGCGUGCGCAGGCGGUUCGCUAAGACAGAUGUGAAAUCCCCGGGCUUAACCUGGGAACUGCAUUUGUGACUGGCGGGCUAGAGUAUGGCAGAGGGGGUGUAGAAUUCCACGUGUAGCAGUGAAAUGCGUAGAGAUGUGGAGGAAUACCGAUGGCGAAGGCAGCCCCCUGGGCCAAUACUGACGCUCAUGCACGAAAGCGUGGGGAGCAAACAGGAUUAGAUACCCCUGGUAGUCCACGCC
rnacentral:rRNA from 1 species